UUCGGCGACGGUGAAAUACCACU
rnacentral:misc_RNA from 1 species